GAUGAACGCUGGCGGCGUGCCUAAUACAUGCAAGUCGAGCGAACAGACGAGGAGCUUGCUCCUCUGACGUUAGCGGCGGACGGGUGAGUAACACGUGGAUAACCUACCUAUAAGACUGGGAUAACUUCGGGAAACCGGAGCUAAUACCGGAUAAUAUAUUGAACCGCAUGGUUCAAUAGUGAAAGACGGUUUUGCUGUCACUUAUAGAUGGAUCCGCGCCGCAUUAGCUAGUUGGUAAGGUAACGGCCUACCAAGGCAACGAUGCGUAGCCGACCUGAGAGGGUGGUCGGCCACACUGGAAGUGAGACACGGUCCAGGCUCCUACGGGAGGGAGCAGUAGGGAAUCUGCCGCAAUGGGCGAAAGCCUGACGGAGCAACGCCGCGUGAGUGAUGAAGGUCUUCGGAUCGUAAAACUCUGUUAUUAGGGAAGAACAAAUGUGUAAGUAACUAUGCACGUCUUGACGGUACCUAAUCAGAAAGCCACGGCUAACUACGUG
rnacentral:rRNA from 1 species